GUCCACGCCGUAAACGAUGGAUACUAGGUGUUGGAGGUAUUGACCCCUUCCGUGCCGCAGUUAACACAAUAAGUAUCCCACCUGGGGAGUACGACCGCAAGGUUGAAACUCAAAGGAAUUGACGGGGCCCGCACAAGCAGUGGAGUAUGUGGUUUAAUUCGAAGCAACGCGAAGAACCUUACCUGGUCUUGACAUCCCGGUGACCGGCUUAGAGAUAAGCCUUUCCCUUCGGGGACAGCGGUGACAGGUGGUGCAUGGUUGUCGU
rnacentral:rRNA from 1 species